rnacentral:rRNA from 1 species
UACGUAGGGGGCAAGCGUUAUCCGGAUUCACUGGGUGUAAAGGGAGCGUAGACGGCCAUGCAAGCCUGGAGUGAAAGCCCGGGGCCCAACCCCGGGACUGCUCUGGGAACUGUGCGGCUGGAGUGCGGGAGGGGCAGGCGGAAUUCCUGGUGUAGCGGUGAAAUGCGUAGAUAUCAGGAGGAACACCGGCGGCGAAGGCGACUUUCUGGACGAUAACUGACGUUGAGGCACGAAAGUGUGGGGAGCAAACAGG